rnacentral:rRNA from 1 species
GAUGAACGCUGGCGGCGUGCCUAAUACAUGCAAGUCGAGCGAAUGGAUUGAGAGCUUGCUCUUAUGAAGUUAGCGGCGGACGGGUGAGUAACACGUGGGUAACCUGCCCAUAAGACUGGGAUAACUCCGGGAAACCGGGGCUAAUACCGGAUAACAUUUUGAACCGCAUGGUUCGAAAUUGAAAGGCGGCUUCGGCUGUCACUUAUGGAUGGACCCGCGUCGCAUUAGCUAGUUGGUGAGGUAACGGCUCACCAAGGCAACGAUGCGUAGCCGACCUGAGAGGGUGAUCGGCCACACUGGGACUGGGACACGGCCCAGACUCCUACGGGAGGUAGCAGUAGGGAAUCUUCCGCAAUGGACGAAAGUCUGACGGAGCAACGCCGCGUGAGUGAUGAAGGCUUUCGGGUCGUAAAACUCUGUUGUUAGGGAAGAGCAAGUGCUAGUUGAAUAAGCUGGCACCUUGACGGUACCUAACCAGAAAGCCACGGCUAACUACGUGCCAGCCGCCGCGGUAA